rnacentral:rRNA from 1 species
AAUCCAUAGGUUAAUGAGGCGAACCGGGGGAACUGAAACAUCUAAGUACCCCGAGGAAAAGAAAUCAACCGAGAUUCCCCCAGUAGCGGCGAGCGAACGGGGAGGAGCCCAGAGCCUGAAUCAGCAUGUGUGUUAGUGGAAGCGUCUGGAAAGGCGCGCGAUACAGGGUGACAGCCCCGUACACAAAAGCGCAUGUGCUGUGAGCUCGAUGAGUAGGGCGGGACACGUGGUAUCCUGUCUGAAUAUGGGGGGACCAUCCUCCAAGGCUAAAUACUCCUGACUGACCGAUAGUGAACCAGUACCGUGAGGGAAAGGCGAAAAGAACCCCGGCGAGGGGAGUGAAAAAGAACCUGAAACCGUGUACGUACAAGCAGUGGGAGCACAGGUUUACCUGUGUGACUGCGUACCUUUUGUAUAAUGGGUCAGCGACUUAUAUUCUGUAGCAAGGUUAACCGAAUAGGGGAGUCGGAGGGAAACCGAGUCUUAAUUGGGCGUUAAGUUGCAGGGUAUAGACCCGAAACCCGGUGAUCUAGCCAUGGGCAGGUUGAAGGUUGGGUAACACUAACUGGAGGACCGAACCGACUAAUGUUGAAAAAUUAGCGGAUGACCUGUGGCUGGGGGUGAAAGGCCAAUCAAACCGGGAGAUAGCUGGUUCUCCCCGAAAGCUAUUUAGGUAGCGCCUCGUGAA